GCUCGCUGGUGGAGUCCGGGCUGCCGCGACCCGAGUUCGAGCCGUGGGACGAGCCGGUCGGCUCGGUCGACGAGCU
rnacentral:tRNA from 1 species